AUACAUGCAAGUCGAGGGGCAGCACGGAUAGCAAUAUCUGGUGGCGACCGGCGCACGGGUGCGUAACACGUAUGUAACCUACCUAUAACCGGGGCAUAGCUCAGAGAAAUCUGGAUUAAUUCCCCAUAACAUAUUGAACAGGCAUCUGUUUAAUAUUAAAGCUCCGGCGGUUAUAGAUGGGCAUGCGGAACAUUAGCUAGUUGGUGAGGUAACGGCUCACCAAGGCUACGAUGUUUAGGGGUUCUGAGAGGAUGAUCCCCCACACUGGUACUGAGACACGGACCAGACUCCUACGGGAGGCAGCAGUAGGGAAUAUUGGGCAAUGGGCGCAAGCCUGACCCAGCCAUGCCGCGUGCAGGAUGACAGCCUUAUGGGUUGUAAACUGCUUUUAUACGGGAAAAAACCUUCGAACGUGUUCGGAGCUGAUGGUACCGUAAGAAUAAGCAUCGGCUAACUCCGUGCCAGCAGCCGCGGUAAUACGGAGGAUGCAAGCGUUAUCCGGAUUUAUUGGGUUUAAAGGGUGCGCAGGCGGAUUCUUAAGUCAGUGGUGAAAUCCUACAGCUUAACUGUAGAACUGCCAUUGAAACUGGGAGUCUUGAAUUUAGUUGAAGUGGCUGGAAUGUGUCAUGUAGCGGUGAAAUGCUUAGAGAUGACACAGAACACCGAUAGCGAAAGCAGGUCACUAAGCUAAUAUUGACGCUCAUGCACGAAGCGUGGGGGAUCAAACAGGAUUAGAUACCCUGG
rnacentral:rRNA from 1 species